GCUCCAGUGGCGCAAUCGGUUAGCGCGCGGUACUUAUAAUGCCGAGGUUGUGAGUUCGAGCCUCACCUGGAGCA
rnacentral:tRNA from 80 species